ACAUGUUUGAAAAAUCGCAUUUUUUUUCGACAUAGUAUAGUAAGGCGUUUUUUUUGCGCCAAAAUUCAUGAUGAUUUUUUUUUCAAAGAAAUCUUUUCUGGAGUGUUUUUCACGGCCUACUUUACAUUAUUUCAUCAUAUGGCACGUUUUUAUAAAAUGUUGAAAAAUGACAUUUUUCAACAUAGUAUACUAUGGCGUUUUUUUGCGCCAAAAUUCAUGAUGAUUUUUUUUGUUUUUUUUAAAGAAAACCUUUCUGGAGUGUUUUUCACGGCCUCAUUUACAUUAUUUCAUCAUAUGGCACGUUUUUACAACAUGUUGAAAAAUUGCAUAUUUUUUUUCGACAUAGUAUACUAUGGCGUUUUUUUGCGCCAAAAUUCAUGAUGAUUUUUUUUUUAUCAAAGAAAACCUUUCUGGAGUGUUUUUCACGGCUUCCUUUACAUUAUUUCAUCAUAUGGCACGUUUUUACAACAUGUUGAAAAGUGACAUUUUUUUUUCGACAUAGUAUAGUAAGGCGUUUUUUUUGCGCCAAAAUUCAUGAUGAUUUUUUUUUCAAAGAAAACCUUUCUGGAGUGUUUUUCACGGCCUCCUUUACAUUAUUUCAUCAUAUGGCACGUUUUUACAACAUGUUGAAAAUUUGCAUUAUUUUUUUCGACAUAGUAUACUAUGGCGUUUUUUUGCGCCAAAACUCAUGAUGUUUUUUUUUUUUUUUAAAGAAAACCUUUCUGGAGUGUUUUUCACGGCCUCCUUUACAUUAUUUCAUCAUAUGGCACGUUUUUACAACAUGUUUGAAAAAUCGCAUUUUUUUUCGACAUAGUAUAGUAAGGCGUUUUUU
ensembl:lncRNA